rnacentral:rRNA from 1 species
GACGAACGCUGGCGGCGUGCCUAAUACAUGCCAGUAGAACGCUGAAGGAGGAGCUUGCUUCUCUGGAUGAGUUGCGAACGGGUGAGUAACGCGUAGGUAACCUGCCUUGUAGCGGGGGAUAACUAUUGGAAACGAUAGCUAAUACCGCAUAAUAGUAGAUGUUGCAUGACAUUUGCUUAAAAGGUGCAAUUGCAUCACUACCAGAUGGACCUGCGUUGUAUUAGCCAGUUGGUGGGGUAACGGCUCACCAAGGCGACGAUACAUAGCCGACAUGAGAGGGUGAUCGGCCACACUGGGAGUGAGACACGGCCCAGACGACUACGGGAGGCAGCAGUAGGGCAUCUUAGGCAAUGGACGGAAGUCUGACCGAGCAACGCCGAGUGAGUGAAGAAGGUUUUCGGAUCGUAAAGCUCUGUUGUAAGAGAAGAACGAGUGUGAGCGUGGAAAGUUCACACUGUGACGGUAUCUUACAAGAAAGGGACGGCUAACUACGUG